rnacentral:rRNA from 1 species
UGGGGAAUAUUGGACAAUGGGGGGAACCCUGAUCCAGCCAUGCUGCGUGUGUGAAGAAGGCCUUAUGGUUGUAAAGCACUUUAAGCGAGGAGGAGGGUACUGGUAUUAAUACUACCAGGUACUGGACGUUACUCGUAGAAUAAGCACCGGCUAACUCUGUGCCAGCAGCCGCGGUAAUACAGAGGGUGCGAGCGUUAAUCAGAUUUACUGGGCGUAAAGCGUGCGUAGGCGGCUAAUUGAGUCGGAUGUGAAAUCCCCGAGCUUAACUUGGGAAUUGCAUUCGAUACUGGUUAGCUAGAGUGUGGGAGAGGAUGGUAGAAUUCCAGGUGUAGCGGUGAAAUGCGUAGGGAUCUGGAGGAAUACCGAUGGCGAAGGCAGCCAUCUGGCCUAACACUGACGCUGAGGUACGAAAGCAUGGGGAGCAAGCAGG